GCCCGGGUGGCGGAAAUGGUAGACGCACAGGACUUAAAAUCCUGUGUCCCGAAAGGGACGUACCGGUUCGAGUCCGGUCCCGGGCACGA
rnacentral:tRNA from 1 species